UUAAUUAUAUUAACUUAAAUAUUGCAUUUCUAACACGAAGGUCAAAGGCUCGGGACUUAUGGCAAGAAUACUUCGUACAACUCUAAAAAAUUUUAAUAUUCACGAAAAAAUUUCCACGUAUCUUACUAAUGAGUCUUGCUUACCAAAUCCCCACAUAUUGCCGAAAAGAUUUUAUUUGAAGUUAGCUGCGACAAAUAUUAUAAUUAUUGUUCUUAUAUAUAAAUGCCACUACUUUAUGCGCAUGAGACGAAUUAUUUGCAGUUACUUCUAUGGUAAAUGCGAGAAGCAACGCAUAUUAUAUUUAUACAAUAGCUUGCUUAGAAAGCGAAAAACUGUUCGCGAAGUAAUGCGAAGGAUUGCAGAAUCUAAUGUGCAUAAGCGGCAGAUACGUCGACGGAUCAACCUUUUAUUGAGUAUUCGAUUGAAAUGUCCAAAUUAUUGCAGUUGGUUUAAAUGCUGUGCUGCUGCCCGCCUUAAAUGCUUGAUUUGUGAUGGAUUGGAAG